rnacentral:rRNA from 1 species
CCUACGGGAGGCAGCAGUGAGGAAUAUUGGUCAAUGGACGAGAGUCUGAACCAGCCAAGUAGCGUGAAGGAUGACUGCCCUAUGGGUUGUAAACUUCUUUUAUCUGGGAGUAAAAUGUUCCACGUGUGGGAUUUUGUAUGUCCCAUAUGAAUAAGGAUCGGGUAACUCCGUGCCAGCAGCCGCGUUAAUACGGAGGAUCCGGGCGUUAUCCGGAUUUAUUGGGUUUAAAGGGAGCGUAGGUGGAUUGUUAAGUCAGGUGGUAAAGUUUGCGGCUUAACCGUAAAAUUGCAGUUGAAACUGGCAGUCUUGAGUACAGUAGAGGUGGGCGGAAUGCGUGGUGUAGCGGUGAAAUGCUUAGAUAUCACGAAGAACUCCGAUUGCGAAGGCAGUUCACUGGACUGCAACUGACACUGAGGCUCGAAAGUGUGGGUAUCAAACAGGAUUAGAUACCCUGGUAGUC